UACGUAGGGUGCGAGCGUUGUCCGGAAUUAUUGGGCGUAAAGGGCUCGUAGGCGGUUUGUCGCGUCGGGAGUGAAAACUCAGGGCUUAACCCCUGAGCCUGCUUCCGAUACGGGCAGACUAGAGGUAUGCAGGGGGAGAACGGAAUUCCUGGUGUAGCGGUGAAAUGCGCAGAUAUCAGGAGGAACACCGGUGGCGAAGGCGGUUCUCUGGGCAUUACCUGACGCUGAGGAGCGAAAGUGUGGGGAGCGAACAGG
rnacentral:rRNA from 1 species